UACGUAGGGUGCAAGCGUUGUCCGGAAUUAUUGGGCGUAAAGAGCGUGUAGGCGGCCCGACAAGUCCGCUGUGAAAGUCCAGGGCUCAACCCUGGAAUGCCGGUGGAUACUGUCGGGCUAGAGUCCGGAAGGGGCGAGUGGAAUUCCUGGUGUAGCGGUGAAAUGCGCAGAUAUCAGGAGGAACACCAAUGGCGAAGGCAGCUCGCUGGGACGUGACUGACGCUGAGACGCGAAAGCGUGGGGAGCGAACAGG
rnacentral:rRNA from 1 species